rnacentral:lncRNA from 1 species
GUUUCACUGUCCAUCCCAUCUUGCUGACAAGAGCUUACUGAUCCUCAAAUGGAGAAAGGAUUGUGAGGGUCACACUGGUCCUCACUCCCUCAAAGAAGAACAAUUUCAGGAAGUGUCCUAGAAGACCUCUCCUUUGUCUCAUGGAGAAAAUUAUGAAGCUGAAAUCAAAUUACGUUCACCAAGAAAACUCAGUAUUCCUGGAAGUUUAGAGGAGAGUCUGACCCGAAUCCUAGGGAGAUCCCGAAAUUUCUAGCAAGUUAAAAACUGGAAACCACUCAAAUGUCCAUCAGCAACAAACGGAUAAGCACCCUGAGGAAUAUCCAUAUAACGGAAUACUACUCAGCAAUGAAAAGGAUGAAUCUCAAAAUAAUUAUACUGAGAGAAAGAAGCCAGACCAAAAAAAGAGCCCAGCUGGAGACCCCAAGAGGGCAGAGGUAAAGUUUUGUCUUCCCUACAGCCCCUCAAGGUAAGACUAUUGACUGAGCUGGUCUUUUCCAUCCUUUGGAGCAAUGCCUGCGACCCACUGGGCCCUCAGCAACUGUAUUUGGCAGAGGAAUGAAACCAUCUGUGAGAAACAAAAGAUAUUAACAUUCCCGGGAUGACCAGAUUCUAUCUUAUAAUGUUCAAUCAUUUCUCCUGCUUUCUUUUCUGUUUUUUUUUUCCUCCAUCACAUAUUAUAAUUAACAAUUUAUAUGGCCCUCGCACACGCAAUAUUGCAAUUAAUUCUCACAGUUCUGUUGGGAGUAGAUAUCUGCCUACAUUUCCUAGAUGAGAAAUCUGACCUUUGAACAGGUGAAGUGAGUUGUUCAAGGUCACAUAGCCAGAAGGAGUAGAAUGGAGAAAAUAAGCUAGGUUUUCUGACUUUAGACUCCAUGAUCUAAUUUAGGUCACUUCACUGUUUUUCUUUGGAUUUUUUGCAAGCUUUAGUCUUAGUUUAAUUGUCUGCAAUAGCAUGCUUGCACACACACACACACACACACACACACACAUGCACAUUGCACAUAAAUUGGCAAAAUGAAGAUAGCUUUCUCUGGCUCCCCUUAUUCCUGUUUUGUAAAUAUGAUCACUGAUUUUAAAAGAUUCAAACAAAAUAACACUGGUUCUCAAACUUGAUUGCAGGUUGGAAUCACCUGGACCUCACCCCAAUGAUUCUGACCUUAUUGGUCUAGAGGGGGCUGAGCGUUCAGAUUUUUAGUGUGCUACCUACGUUGAGAACCACUGCAAUACAGAAGAAUGUAAAGAAAUGGAAAAAAACCCUAACACUACACUCGGAUAUAACCUCCACUGUUAAGAUUUUGGUGACUGACUUUUUUCAUAGAA